UUAUUUCAGGAAGAAGACACCCUGCCACCUCGGAAUCUGGCACUGGCGCUUGAGGAGAUAUUGGAAUAUAAUCAGGACAAGGGCAUUACCCUACAGAAGAAAGCCAGCCAAGUGCCCCGGUGUGAUGUCGGGGAACGCUGUGCAAUGAAGCAUGGACCUCGGAUUGG